UGGGGAAUUUUGGACAAUGGGCGCAAGCCUGAUCCAGCCAUGCCGCGUGUGGGAAGAAGGCCUUCGGGUUGUAAACCGCUUUUGUCAGGGAAGAAAUCCUUUGAGCUAAUACCUCGGGGGGAUGACGGUACCUGAAGAAUAAGCACCGGCUAACUACGUGCCAGCAGCCGCGGUAAUACGUAGGGUGCAAGCGUUAAUCGGAAUUACUGGGCGUAAAGCGUGCGCAGGCGGUGAUGUAAGACAGGUGUGAAAUCCCCGGGCUUAACCUGGGAAUUGCAUUUGUGACUGCAUCGCUGGAGUGCGGCAGAGGGGGAUGGAAUUCCGCGUGUAGCAGUGAAAUGCGUAGAGAUCAGAAGGAACAUCCGUGGCGAAGGCGGCAUCCUGGGCCAACACUGACACUGAGGCACGAAAGCGUGGGGAGCAAACA
rnacentral:rRNA from 1 species